UUGGCAGUGCAACGAGUGCGUGGAGCUGAAGCGCGGAACUCAAGAGGAAUGAGAGGGAUCAAAGGAUUUAUCCAGCGCUCUUAUAGGGAGCCCGGGCCUGAUUGCUGUGAUCAGAGACAUCUGCGGUGACAGAUGUUCAGUGAGGAGAAGUUGCCGCGAUGCUCCGAUCGCAAUCUACACAGGUCGCCCGUCUCCCCUUCUUCGUCCGCUGUUAGGUCACCCUGGUCACACUUUGUGAGUGCUCGUGUACGUCUUCUUUGCGCGUCUGUGUAUGGAUGGAGAAACCACUGUCCUCUGUAGCCUCUGAAAAGUGGACAGCAUCACAGGGAUUUGCUUUGAGCGUGCUGCAGCUUGCACCGCUGAC